rnacentral:lncRNA from 1 species
UAUUUUCCUCCAUAAAGUCUGCACACAUAUCCAUGAUUCACACAACCAUUCCGCAGAAGGUCAAGUUCCAUUACCAUAGAUGUAAGAUCUGUGUGUGUGUAUAUGUAUAGAUAGAUAGAUAGAUAGAUAGAUAGAUAUAGAGAGAGAAAGCCUCAGAUUAGCAUUUUGGCACAUUAUUCCUCGCAUCAACAACCCCAUGCAUUGAUGGGUGCGCAGAUUGUUGUUGCAGCUCAUGCCCAAAAAUUCCUCAUCACCGGCUUUCUUCGAUGAUUCGAUGUCUUCCUCGAACAAUCAAAAAAUUCGAAUUAAAAAAUAAAUAACGAUAUACACAUACAUACAUAUACAUAUAUCUAUUGCAGAUGAAGUGAAGUGAAGUGCUUCGAUUUCUUCAUCCCUUUCGAACUAGGGUUUAUU